UAUAACCACAGUGACACACGCCCAUACCAAAACCUCCCCAGUCGCGCAUGUAGCAGAGGAUUUUUUUUGGACACAGAAACAAAGUCAGGUCGCGGGGGCACCAGCCUAAGCAGACAUAUAUUAACUUCAGGCCUACCAUGGGAUGUAACGGAUCUAUGGUCAUGUGUGCCUCAGUGACACUCACAGGAACCUGCAGCCAGCAACAGCAGCACAACUACACGGACCAUGGUUGGUACUCAAGUUGUUCUGAUGGGAUGGAAUGUGUGCAGCUGCAUGGUGGGAGGCUCACUUUGCAUAUAGUGGCACUACAGGUGUGCUGCAAGAUGGCCGCUCAUUACGUCGCGGGGGCAGCAGCCUAAGCAGACAAGUCCAGACCUCCCUCUCCCCAGCUACUUCGUUCAGCUCGUCCUGGUGGCUCUUGUGGCAUUCCCAAGCCAAAUGGGAGAUCUAGUCUCUCCACGGUGUCCUGGGUCUUCUCCGUGGCCUUCUACCGCCCUAAACACCUCCCCAGGAAGACUUCCGGGGGCAACCUGAGCUGAUGACCGAACCACCUCAUCUGACUCCUCUCGAUGUGGAGGAGCAGGGGCUUUAGUCUGAGCUCCUCCUGAAUGACAGAGCUUCUCACCCUCUCUCUAAAGGAGAGCCCUGCCACCCGACUGAGGAAACUCUUUUCGGCCGCUUGUACCCGUGGUCUUGUCCUUUCGGUCAUAACCCAAAGCUCAUGACCAUAGGUAAGGAUGGGAACGUAGAUCGACCGGUAAAUUGAGAGCUUUGCCUUCCGGCUCAGCUGCUUUUUCACCAGACUGCUCGAUACAGGCUCCGCAUCACUGCAGACGCCGACCAGCCUGUCGAUCUCAUAAUCCACUCUUCCCUCACUCGUGAACAAGACACAAGGUACUUGAACUCCUCCACUUGGGGCAGGUUCUCAUCCCCAACCCGAAAUUGUCACUGCACCCUUUUCCGGGUGAGAACCACGGACUUAGACCUGGAAGUGCUGAUUUUCAUCCCAGUCGCUUCACACUCAGCUGCGAACGUGCAGUUUUACAUUCAUGAUAACGUCAAACCUACCAUAGGUCAGGUAGAAGUAGUUAACACAUUUAGUCACGAGGUUAAAACGUGAUUUUAAAGUAAAUACAGUUCUUUUUCUCAUGCAGACUCUGCCUCGACUCUGCUUUGAGGCCCCUGGGACUGGAUUCCAUUUGACGAGUGACUAGAACAUGUUUGUCACGCUGCACAGUGUUGUUGUUUUUGUUCGAGUCUGCUGAUGCUUUGUGUUGUUGUGGUUGUCUGGCACAGUAAUACACAGCCGUGUCUCCAGGCUGCAUAUUCUGUCCAUUUAGAGUCACUGUCUUGGUGGAGGGGUCCACAUUAAUACUGAACUGGUUCUUCAGUGAGUCUUUGUAGUAAGAUUUGCCAGUAUACGCCAUCCCAAUCCACUCCAGUCCUUUCCCAGCGGGAUGUCUGACCCACGCUGUGUAGUAGCCACCAGCACCCACAGAAUAAGACACCCUACAGUUGAUGCUCAGACUCUGACCAGACUGCAGAGUGACAGACGGUGGCUGGGUCAACUCUUGACACUCGACACCUGCGGAGGAAAAGUUAUUAGAUAUGGGAUGUAACGGAUCUAUGGUCAUGUGUGCCUCAGUGACACUCACAGGAACCUGCAGCCAGCAACAGCAGCACAACUACACGGAACAUGGCAGAUGCUGUCACGGCCAGGGCUUAUUCCAAUGCGCCCUCAUCUGUGUGCUCUGCUAGUUGCGCCUCCAAGAGCGCACCUCGGGACACGCCCACGACCGCACACUUCCAGGAGCGCACCAGGCGCGUGUCCGCACUGCUGCAGCCGGCAGCUGCAAUCAUUCACCGGCAAUCAGCGCACCUGAAGCUGAUCAUCAGAGGACUGCCUUCAAAAGCCUGCUCAACCUGCUAUCCGGGGCCAGAACGUAAAUCAGCUGUUCGAGAACCUAUACUCCAUCGCCUUGGAAGUGAGCUGUGCGCCUCACUUCCCUGGACCCCCUCUGGAUUCUGACUGCCUCCCUCGAUCCUGGACCCCCGCUCUGGAAACGGAUCUGUUGACCCCUCAGACUACAUGCCUGUUUCACGGAACUCCGAGAUCUGCCUUGUCCCUCCUCUCGUUCAACAUUACGACCAAAGCUGCAGAGAUAAUCCACCAGAGACUUCAUCCCUCCUCUUUGACAUACACACAUCAGCAAGUGAUCACAUUUGACACUCAACAUACGCACACUCAAUAAAGACAGCAUACAUACAUACAGGUAAAAGCCAGUAAAUUAGAAUAUUUUGAAAAACUUGAUUUAUUUCAGUAAUUGCAUUCAAAAGGUGUAACUAGCAGAGGUGGGACCAAGUCAUUGUUUUGCAAGUCACAAGUAAGUCUCAAGUCUUUGCCCUCAAGUCCGGGUCAAGACAGGCAAGCCCCGAGUCAAGUCCAAAGUCAAGACUGGAAAGUCUCAAGUCAAGUCCUAAGUCCUGCAUUUUGAGUUUCGAGUCCUUUCAAGUCCUUUUAACCACAGACUAAUAUAUUAACAGAUUGUGUAUGCUUUUCAAACGCUGUAUUUAUUUAUUAAAACAAGUGCAUUUUAAAUUGCAGGAAAGAAAAUUGUGCUGACAUUGCACUUUAUAAUAGCACUAUUAACCAGUCAUUUUAAACAUUAACUCAUUCCUUUACAGAACAAACACAUUGAAAAAUAAAGUGCAAAUGUACUUAUUUGUACAAAAGUGUUAACAUUGAAAAAACAUGACAUAUACGUGAACAUAACAAAAAAGUUGUACUUUUUAUAUG